rnacentral:lncRNA from 1 species
UGGCCAUUUCAAGCUAGUUUCGGGUUAUUUCGAAGAUCAAAAGUUGAUUUCAAGGUGAUUCAAGGAGGAACAAGCUUGUUUUUAUCAAGAUUCUCAUCAUAAAACCCACUUUGAUUCUUGAAAGAUUGAUAUGUGAAUAUGAGUACAUGAGUUCGGCUUCGGAGAAUAUUGGCUUGCGUUAUCAUGUGGGUGUGUGAUGUUUAUAUAUUAAAAUAAUGUUUGUACACUUUUGAAUUUAUGAGACCGUGUGUAAUAAGACCCCUAAGGGUAAAACAAACUAUGACUUGUUGGUGAUGAAUGUGGUAAUCUUAAAAACUAUGUUU